CCGGAAGCAGAGCGUUUGGAGACAGUUUCUGUGUUUAAGGCUUGGUUGCCAGCGAUGGUCUUUGAGUUCUUUGCUAAUGAAUGGCUGAAUCCCACAAUGGAUUCUUAACAUUAUUAAGACAUGGUGGAAAAUAGAACUAGGCCCUCAUUGGAGGUUAUUGAUCACAGAGCAUACCCUGGAAAGAACUGUUUAUGCUAAUGUCCAUAUGGGAAAUUCAAACUACAAAACCAGCCAUAGAAAUAAGGGAAAGAAGAAAAUUUGCAACAGGCUUGCUCCCCAGUCUUCCUCUAGCCUCCUCUCAGCUGCCCAGUCCCUGUUAUCUCCUCCAAUCAAUUCAGAUAAGUCACGCAGGGUAAGAGCGGUCAGAAGCCAGAGAGACCAUGCUCAGGGAUCCAACUCAGAUGAUCAGACUUGAAGGCGAGCUCCUUGCACACUGAACCAUCUCAUCAGCCCCAAAAGUGCUGUUUUGAAAACGGAAGUUCAACAGUCUGGGGGAUUGAAGGUGACCAACUGACCAACGGAGGGGCAAGGCAUUAGAGAUACAGUACAAUAAGUCUGUAUGGAAAUAAAUCAA
rnacentral:sRNA from 1 species